ACCUACGGGACGCAGCAGUGAGGAAUAUUGGACAAUGGUCGGGAGACUGAACCAGCCAAGCCGCGUGAGGGAUGAAGGUACAGAGUAUCGUAAACCUCUUUUGUCAGGGAACAAAGGCGGGGACGUGUCCCCGGAUGAGUGUACCUGAAGAAAAAGCAUCGGCUAACUACGUGCCAGCAGCCGCGGUAAUACGGAGGAUGCGAGCGUUAUCCGGAUUUAUUGGGUUUAAAGGGUGCGCAGGCGGUCUGUUAAGUCAGCGGUCAAAGCCCGGGGCUCAACCCCGGCCCGCCGUUGAAACUGGCAGU
rnacentral:rRNA from 1 species